rnacentral:rRNA from 1 species
CCCAGGCUAAUACCGCAUACGUCCUACGGGAGAAAGCAGGGGCUCUUCGGACCUUGCGCUAUCGGAUGAGCCUAUGUCGGAUUAGCUUGUUGGUGAGGUAAUGGCUCACCAAGGCGACGAUCCGUAGCUGGUCUGAGAGGAUGAUCAGCCACAUCGGGACUGAGACACGGCCCGAACUCCUACGGGAGGCAGCAGUGGGGAAUAUUGGACAAUGGGGGCAACCCUGAUCCAGCCAUGCCGCGUGUGUGAAGAAGGCCUUCGGGUUGUAAAGCACUUUCAGUGAGGAAGAAGGCCUUGGGCUUAAUACGCUCGAGGAAGGACAUCACUCACAGAAGAAGCACCGGCUAACUCCGUGCCAGCAGCCGCGGUAAUACGGAGGGUGCGAGCGUUAAUCGGAAUUACUGGGCGUAAAGCGCGCGUAGGUGGCGUGAUAAGCCGGUUGUGAAAGCCCCGGGCUCAACCUGGGAACGGCAUCCGGAACUGUCAUGCUAGAGUGCAGGAGAGGAAGGUAGAAUUCCCGGUGUAGCGGUGAAAUGCGUAGAGAUCGGGAGGAAUACCAGUGGCGAAGGCGGCCUUCUGGACUGACACUGACACUGAGGUGCGAAAGCGUGGGUAGCAAACAGGAUUAGAUACCCUGGUAGUCCACGCCGUAAACGAUGUCGACUAGCCGUUGGGAGCCUCGAGUUCUUAGUGGCGCAGUUAACGCGAUAAGUCGACCGCCUGGGGAGUACGGCCGCAAGGUUAAAACUCAAAUGAAUUGACGGGGGCCCGCACAAGCGGUGGAGCAUGUGGUUUAAUUCGAUGCAACGCGAAGAACCUUACCUACCCUUGACAUCUUCGGAAGCCGAGAGAGAUCUUGGUGUGCCUUCGGGAACCGAAAGACAGGUGCUGCAUGGCUGUCGUCAGCUCGUGUUGUGAAAUGUUGGGUUAAGUCCCGUAACGAGCGCAACCCCUGUCCCUAUUUGCCAGCGAUUCGGUCGGGAACUCUAGGGAGACUGCCGGUGACAAACCGGAGGAAGGUGGGGACGACGUCAAGUCAUCAUGGCCCUUACGGGUAGGGCUACACACGUGCUACAAUGGCAGGUACAAAGGGUUGCAAGACGGCGACGUGGAGCUAAUCCCAUAAAGCCUGCCUCAGUCCGGAUCGGAGUCUGCAACUCGACUCCGUGAAGUCGGAAUCGCUAGUAAUCGUGAAUCAGAAUGUCACGGUGAAUACGUUCCCGGGCCU